UAUCCACACAAACAGUAGUAACAAAUAUGUUCAAAAUGGCUAGAGGUAGAGCUAUUGCGAGUAUGUGAUACCAUUGGGCGAGAGGUUCCUACUUCUCAUUGCUCGUCCGAAGUAUGGGAGAUCAAUUUUCUUGUAUUCUGUAAUUAGUGCUUAAUUUACAUUUGCCUCCUUGUAAUAUCCUAUCUCAUGAUUGCUGGCCUAUCUGUAGUUGUAUUUAUCAGUAAAAUUAUAGGGCAAAGGAAAUGAAAUUUUGGCGCGGCGAGAGAAUGAUAUUAAUGUCGGAAUCAAAAGCAAAUGAUAUUUACGUUCCCUGGGGUACAUUAUCUUUUUCAAUCUAGUUUAUCUGUCACUAUUCCGAUCUCCCGGUUCGAUCAUUUUAUGUUAAUACACUUUUCAAGUGAAUAAUAAUAAUAUUCAGAUUGGAGAUUUGUGGUCGAGGUUUCCUGGCUUUGCGGGGCCACGAAUUGAAUUUGGUAUGUGCAGUCUGUACUUCCUUUGCUUAUUUAGGCCUUAAGAAAUUGGGUGUUAGAAAAUAUGAUGUGUGCGUUCCUGAUAGGUGUGGGCGUUGUGCAAGAAAUUUUCAUUUCUUAUCUGGGUUGCCCCCAAAAUGCAGUUUUUGUGAUGCACAUAGCUGUCUGUGUCUUCAACUUGCAGUUUUUUGGCCCCCGUGUGUAUUUUUUUUCUUGAGAAUGCAGUUUACUGAUGCCCUCAUUUCCUUUUAUUUCCACUUUCCUUAUUUGAUUUGAUGGAAAUAUUAUAAUCGGGUCACAAUACAUUUUUUCACUGGGUUCCGUUUAAGAGUCAAGUUUCUAUUAGGUUGACUAAAAAAGGGGGAAUUUUGAGUUUUCAUGUGGACUGGUUUGAAAUGUAAAGGAUUUAUCUAGGUUGUGAGAAUUGUAGAAAUUUAUUGGUUUUUUCCAUGUACGUGGAUUGAACGUAAAUACCUCUCCCCGAAAAUUUUUCUCUUUGGGGCAGGUUUUUGGUGUGGUCUAUUGGGGAAAUACAGUCUUGUUGCAACACAAGUUGGAUUUGCCUUGACUUUUAAGGAUCAUGGAUGAAACGUUCCUGGUUGAAUGCAAAACGAGCGUGGAUAGACUUGAUAUGGCAUCCGCCAAAGUUGAUACUGUUACCACAGAACGUCCCAAAACAGAGUUGUUAUGCGAUGAAGAGCCACAAAAGCAACAGGUCCCUUUGAGCGAGAGCAGCAGCAAUACAUUUCGACAGAAGGUUCUUAAAACAAAACCCCGAGGCUUUGAUGAAGAAACCGUUGCCUCUUUUGGUCGAUGUUUUCAGCUUGACAUUCAAAUGGAAGAAACAAUAUGGGGGCAUUUGCCAGAGGAUCUAAUUAGCGAAGUCCUUGCUAGGGUGCCUCCCUUUUAUCUCUUCAGAUUAAGGUCUGUGUGCAGGAGAUGGAAUUCAAUUUUGCAGGACAGUAGUUUUCUGAAAUUCCAUUCUCAGGUACCCUCGCAUGGACCUUGUCUUCUUACAUUUUGGAAAAAUUUGCAGACUCCUCAGUGCUCGGUAUUCAGUUUUCCCUUGAAAAGUUGGCAUAAGCUUCCUUUUGGAUUUCUUCCUGAUUGGGCAUUCUGGUUGGUUGGUUCUUCUGGGGGUCUCGUAUGUUUUUCAGGUCUGGAUGGACCUUGUUUCAAAACAAUGGUUUGCAAUCCCCUAACGCAAGAAUGGAGGAUACUGCCCAGCAUGCAUCAUAAUCAACAGAGACAGCUCAUCAUGGUUGUGGACAGGCAAAAUAAAUCAUUCAAGGUUAUUGCAGCGAGUGACAUAUUUGGAGACAGAACUUUGCCUACAGAGGUUUACGAUUCAAAGCUAAAUACUUGGUCUGUUCAUCAGAGCAUGCCUGCUGUGAAUCUUUGCUCAUCAAAAAUGGCAUUUUGUGACUCCAAGAUCUAUCUGGAGACUCUGUCCCCACUUGGGUUAAUGAUGUACAAAAUGGACGCAGGUUAUUGGGAGCAUAUACCGGCCAAGUUUCCCAGAUCUUUGCUGGAUGGUUACCUUGUAGGUGGAGCCCGGAAUCGCCUUUUUUUGGUAGGAAGAAUAGGAUUGUACAGUACGCACCAAAGCAUGAGGAUUUGGGAAUUAGAUCAUGUAAGAACAUCAUGGAUAGAGAUAGGGAGAAUGCCUCAGAGAUUUUUUAGAAUAUUAUUGAGGUUAUCUGCAGAGCGGUUUGAGUGCUUUGGGCAGGAUAAUUUGAUCUGUUUCACAUCAUGGAAUCAAGGUAAGGGCCUGCUCUAUGACGUGGACAAGAAAAUGUGGUCAUGGAUAAUUGGCUGCCCCCUUCAGUCAUGGAACAGCCAGGUGACCUUUUAUGAACCGAGGUUUGAUGCAUCUAUCUAUUAACAUUUAUAUCUUGAUGUUUUGGCAACAGUUAUAUGCAAGGUUGCAGGAAACCUUUUAAUAUACACUCUGUGUGUAUCUUGAAAUGCUUUUUUGGUACAACCUGUUUAUGAGAUUGGUGAAAUCUGCAACAAGUAAAGUUACCUGGAAGUCAACAGAAUGGUCUGAUUUAUUGUGACCGGAUUGGAUAUUUUGAAGUGCAUCACAGCUAAGCAAUGUUGAAGAAUUUUUACAUGGUAAAAUGAUAGAAACCACUUGGCAGCGUUCAUCAGGAUUGGAUCAAAGAAAACGAAUUUAUGUAGCAUAUUGGGAAGAUAGGGUUCUGGAACAGUGAUUUUGAAUGGCCAAAAUGAUAUUGAAUGAUUGCAUGGAAUGAUGGAGAAGGAUGAAGAGGCAAGAAUGUGAGGGAAGAUAGAUCAAGAUAUUCAAGAAGAUGACAAAGAGGGACAUCACAAUAAGGAUACAACUAUGACAAGGAGGUCGAGGUCAAGGAUGUCUAAAGAUCAAGGACUCUUGAAAAGGAUGGCAAAAGAUGAAAAAUGGAGAUGUGGAAUGAUGAUCAAGGAAAACAUUUUGAAGAAGACAAAUUGAAUUGAAGAAAAAACUUGCAAGGUGUGCAAGCUUAGGUGGUGCCUACUCAUCUCCACCAAUCAAAGAAUUCAAAGUCAACAUGUCCAAAUUUGUUGAACCCUAAUUCAUGAAAGAAGAAGAAAUGGACGUGUAAAAGGCAUUGAAUGAAAUAUUACAACUCCUUUUUCUCAUUGGUCCUUUCCAAAAAGGACGUGUAUACAAAAAUUGUAUAAUUUUCUCAUUGGUCAAAAAUGAAAUAUUACAACUCCUUUUUCUCAUUGGUCCUUUCCAAAAAGGAUGUGUAUACGAAAAUUGUAUACUUUUCUCAUUGGUCAAAAAUGUUGUAAGUGGUGGUAGGUAUACCUUUCCCCACCUUAGGGUUGUAUUGUUUAAUCUUGGUUGUGAAUUAGGAUCAAUCUAGGCCCUUGAUUUGUAAUUGGAAGUCUAUAAAAGGCUUGGCCUUUUCAAUUGUAUAAAGAGGAGAUUAGAAAUUGUUGGUGAGAUUAUGUUGGAAUAAAUACAUAAUUUUCAUUGAA